GACACAGAGAGAGAGAGAGAGGCAGAGACACAGGCAGAGGGAGAAGCAGGCUCCCCGCGGGGUGCCCGGUGCGGGACUCGAUCCUGGAUCCCGGGAUCACGCCCUGAGCCGAAGGCAGGCGCCCAAACGCUGAGCCACCCAGGCGCCCCGGCUCCCAGGUUUUCAAACAGGCUUUCUUUUCUUUCUUUUUUUUUUUUUUUGUAUAUUUUUGUAUUGAUUUUUUUUUUUUUUUAUUGGAGUUUGCUUUGCCAACAUCUAGUAUCACACGGAGGGCUCCUCCCGUCCAGUGCCCCCCGCAGUGCCCGUCCCCCGUCCCCGCCGCCCUUCCCCUUGUUCAUCUCCCAGCUUAGGAGUCUCGGGGUCUCACACAGGCUUUGGGGGGCGGGGGGCAGCGGCCGGGCUGCGAGAGGCGCGGGGACCCGGAGCUCCGCGGCCGGGGAGCAGCGCACGCGCACGCGCAGGCUGCGAGCGGCUCCCGCCGGCUCCUCCCGCGGCGGUCGGUCCGGGGACGUUCUCCCCGCCGCGGGGGCGACUGUGACCCCCGGCGGAGGCCCGGGCGGGCCGGGUCCCGAUCGGUGCUGGCGGACGUCACCCUGCCAGGUUCGGUGGUUCUGCAGACUCUAGCAUUGUAUCCUGUAAUGGGACUUCCUGUUGAGUGCUCCCCCACAUCCAACACCAAGGCCACUGAACGCCUCUUUACCAACAUGCCGGUGAGUUGUGUGGAAUUUGGACAGCCAGUGCCUUUUCUCUGCUUCUUGGGAGGCAAUUAGGGUUGGUCACUCUGUACCAGGGAGAAUUAGCCUUAGUAUUCAGACCUAGAAGUGAAGCAAGACCAUGAGAAACUGCUUCACUUCCACAGAGGGCGAUCCAAAUAAAGAUCAUCUUCCUUGAUAAAAACA
rnacentral:lncRNA from 12 species